rnacentral:lncRNA from 1 species
CUGUGUUAUUUUUCUCCGCCCUUUCAGUCUUUAUUUUAGCUUAUGGGUCUUAUAUUACGUUGUCUAGUUUGGAAAACGUAAAAUUGAUGAGCUACGGCAAGUCUGAUGGUUAGUGAUGGAUAUUCAGAUUUUGAACUAUUUAGUACUUGACCAUGACAUAAACCAGAGGAAAGCGCGUCCACAACAAAACAUCUAGAAUGAUUAUCAGGUACUGGUGUCUGCCUCUUUGCCUCUGUGCCAGAGGGAUAAAGAGGGAAAGAAAGAGGACUAGUGCUUCAUAUCCCCCCUUUGGCCUCCCCGUCUCCCUGCUCCCUGUCACUCCAUCCUUCCUUCCUCCCUCCCGGACCACCCGUCAGCGGCUGGAUCAACCCGCCCGGACCCUCCUCCCACAACCCCUUUGA